rnacentral:rRNA from 1 species
GAUGAACGCUGGCGGCGUGCCUAAUACAUGCAAGUCGAGCGAACAGACGAGGAGCUUGCUCCUCUGACGUUAGCGGCGGACGGGUGAGUAACACGUGGAUAACCUACCUAUAAGACUGGGAUAACUUCGGGAAACCGGAGCUAAUACCGGAUAAUAUAUUGAACCGCAUGGUUCAAUAGUGAAAGACGGUUUUGCUGUCACUUAUAGAUGGAUCCGCGCCGCAUUAGCUAGUUGGUAAGGUAACGGCUUACCAAGGCAACGAUGCGUAGCCGACCUGAGAGGAGGAGCGGCGAGACUGGAACGGCGCCACGGCCCAUAAGCCUAAGGGAGGCGGGAGAGGGGAGCGGUGGACAAUGGGCGCAAGCGUUAGCCAGCCACGCCGCGUGCAGAAUGAAGGCCUUCGGAUUGUAAACGGCGUUGGUGCGGAACGAAAAGCAGGCUGCGAAGACGGGCGGGUCAUGACGGUACCUGAAGAAGAAGCACCGGCGAACUACGUG